rnacentral:rRNA from 1 species
UACGUAGGUGGCAAGCGUUGUCCGGAUUUACUGGGCGUAAAGGGCGCGUAGGCGGUCAGCACAAGUCAGUUGUGAAAUCUCCGGGCUUAACUCGGAAAGGUCAACUGAUACUGUGCGACUAGAGUGCAGAAGGGGCAACUGGAAUUCUCGGUGUAGCGGUGAAAUGCGUAGAUAUCGAGAGGGAACACCUGCGGCGAAGGCGGGUUGCUGGGCUGACACUGACGCUGGAGGCGCGAAAGCUAGGGGAGCGAACGGG